rnacentral:rRNA from 1 species
UACGAAGGGUGCAAGCGUUACUCGGAAUUACUGGGCGUAAAGCGUGCGUAGGUGGUUUGUUAAGUCUGCUGUGAAAGCCCCGGGCUCAACCUGGGAAUGGCAGUGGAUACUGGCAAGCUAGAGUGCGGUAGAGGGAUGUGGAAUUCCCGGUGUAGCGGUGAAAUGCGUAGAGAUCGGGAGGAACACCGGUGGCGAAGGCGGCCAUCUGGACCGGUUCUGACGCUGAGGCGCGAAAGCGUGGGGAGCAAACAGGG